UUGGGUUAAAUCAAUGUGUCCUACAAUUCGGAAAUGGAACCCACAUAAAGUGGUGGAACAUACAUUGAUUUCAACCAA
rnacentral:pre_miRNA from 1 species